UUCUCUUAAUUACAGAUACUUGAUAUUAUAUACCUAAAGCAUUAUGUUCGGCAAGUCUUCACACAACCCCCAAUGAAGGCCAGGGUGGAGACCAUACGUUAGGGGAGGACUGACGUGGAGAAUAAAGAGAACGGAGCUGACUAUAAUAAUAGUCUUCAUCACGAGUCUUCUCAGGACUUCAGUGACUAGUAUUGACGAGAAAAUGUCUACAGAUUACAUGUCAUUUAACUACAAAUCAGAAGAGUAUCAGCCCAGCAAAUAAACAGCGAUCACGACUCUAGUAAAAUUUCUCAAAGGCGUAACGUGUUCCUAUUAAUGUAAACAACCAAAACAGAAUCCAUUUUGUUUGGUUCGGCUGGGUUUGGUUUGGUUGUUGAGCUUGGCAUGAUGUGAAGCAAAAUGCCGGGAAUAGACGUUAAAAUGGGGCCUUAUGGUGGAGAGAGGGGCCCUCAGCUGACUCAGGAUAGGUAUAACAGUGAGGACAGCUUGGAGGACAAUCAGUCCUCAACCUCCAGUACAGAGAGCAGCAGACAAUCAGACUUCGUCA